GCCUUAGUAGUAUAAAAAUUACAUUGGUCUUGUAAACCAAAAAUGGAGUAUCAUUCCCCCUAAGACA
rnacentral:tRNA from 1 species